GUGCCGUGAUGACGUACAGAGAAUGGUUUCGCAAUUAACGGAAUCCCCGUGACGAGCAACUCUCUUGGCUGUCUGAGCGC
rnacentral:snoRNA from 1 species